rnacentral:lncRNA from 1 species
AUAUGUGCCAAGGAGAAAGGCCGCCGGGAGAGGCAAUUCCCCCUUCCGUCCACUAGAGGGGGGCUCCGCGGGGCCGGCGGGAGGAAGGCAGAGACACCGACACACAGCAUCCCGUCCUGCCGGCCUGCUCUUCAGUUGGCAUGGAUUUGAAAUUACUCCUUUCCUCCCGAUUGAAUUCUGUACCACAUGCUCUCCAGUCCUUCCUAAUGAGGUGAGCCACGAAGUUACCCAAGGAACACCCUUGGGUUGGAACAAAUGCUUUCUUUGUUUAAAUUUGUCUACUGGUUGGUAUUGUACUUAAAAGUAAGAUGAUCGGGUGAUAUGGAGAGUUUGCCUUCUAUUCUGCUUCCUGUCUGUCAGGGUCACACGUUAUGUAUGUUCUGAUGGAUGCAUUUGGAAUAAAAUAACUUGUAAAUAUGUUAGAAGGAUUGAA